rnacentral:tRNA from 1 species
UAGGGUGUAGUAUAGUGGUUUUACGUAGAGUUUUGGAUUCUUAGAUGAAGGUUCGAGUCCUUUUUCCCUAG